UGCCGGCCCUGUGAAUCUGUUGGCCAGCUGACUUAGCGACCUGGUAUCUCGAUGCCCACACUGCUGAUCUGGUGCCCAGCUGUUCUAGCAGCCUGUUGUCUUGAUACCCGCCAUGUGGAUCUGGUGGCCAGCUGAUCUAGCGAUGUGGCGAAUCCAUGC
rnacentral:lncRNA from 1 species